AGUUGAGAACAAGUUCCCUUUAUUUAACCAGGUAGGCUAGUUGAGAACAAGUUCCCUUUAUUUAACCAGGUAGGCUAGUUGAGAACAAGUUCCCUUUAUUUAACCAGGUAGGCUAGUUGAGAACAAGUUCCCUUUAUUUAACCAGGUAGGCUAGUUGAGAACAAGUUCCCUUUAUUUAACCAGGUAGGCUAGUUGAGAACAAGUUCCCUUUAUUUAACCAGGUAGGCUAGUUGAGAACAUGUUCCCUUUAUUUAACCAGGUAGGCUAGUUGAGAACAAGUUCCCUUUAUUUAACCAGGUAGGCUAGUUGAGAACAAGUUCCCUUUAUUUAACAAGGUAAGCUAGUUGAGAACAAGUUCCCUUUAUUUAAUCAGGUAGGCUAGUUGAGAACAAGUUCCUUUAUUUAACCAGGUAGGCUAGUUGAGAACAAGUUCGCAUUUGCAACUGCAACCUGGCCAAGAUAAAGUGUAGCAAUUCGACACAUACAACAACACAGAGUUACACAUGGAAUAAACAAAACAUACAGUCAAUAAUACAGUAGAAUAGAAGAAAACAAAAAAGUCUAUAUACAGUGAGUGCAAAUAAGGUAAGUUAAAGAAAUAAAUAGGCCAUGGUGGCGAAGUAAUUACAAUACAGCAAUUAAACACUGGAAUGGUAGAUCGGCAGAAGAUGAAUGUGCAGGUAGAGAUACUGGGGUGCAAAUGAGCAAAAUAAAUAAAUAAAUACCAGUAUGGGGAUGAGGUAGGUAGAUAGAUGGGCUGUUUACAGAUAGGCUAAGUACAGGUGCAGUGAUCUGUAAAAUGCUCUGACAGCUGGUGCUUAAAGCUAGUGAGGGAGAUGUGAGUCUACAGCUUCAGAGAUUUUUGCAAUUUGUUCCAGUCAUGGGCAGCAGAGAACUGGAAGGAAAGACGACCAAAGGAGGAAAUGGCUUGAGGAAAUGGCUUUGGGGGUGACCAGAGAGAUACACAUGCUGGAGCGCGUGCUACAAGUGGGUGCUGCUAUGGUGACCAGUGAGUUGAGAUAAGGCGGAGCUUUACCUAGCAGAGACUUGUAGAUAACUUGUAGCCAGUGGGUUUGGCGACGAGUAUGAAGCGAGGGCCAACCAACGAGAGCGUACAGGUCGCAAUUACUAGGCAAGUCAGUUAAGAACAAAUUCAUAUUUUCAAUGACGGCAUAAGAACAAGUGGGAAGAACAGUGGGUUAACUGCCUGUUCAGGGCAGAACGACAGAUUUGUACCUUGUCAGCUCAUUCGAACUUGCAAUCUUUCGAUUACUAGUCCAACACUCUAACCACUAGGCUACCUGCCGCCCCAAAUGGUGGGUAGUGUAUGGGGCUUUGGUGACAAAAAGGAUGGCACUGUGAUAGACUGCAUCCAGUUUGUUGAGUAGAGUGUUGGAGGCUAUUUUAUAGAUGACAUCACCGAAGUCGAGGUUCGGUAAGAUGGUCAGUUUUAUGAGGGUAUGUUUGGCAGCAUGAGUGAAGGAUGCUUUGUUGCAACAUAGGAAGCCGAUUCUAGAUUUAAUUUUGGAUUGGAGAUGCUUAACGUGAGUCUGGAAGGAGAGUAAACAGUCUAACCAGACACCCAGGUAUCUGUAUGGCAUUGAAGCUCGUCUGGAGGUUAGUUAACACAGUGUCCAAGGAGGUGCCAGAAGUAUACAGAAUGGUGUCGUCUGCGUACUAUACAUAAAAUGCUCUGGCAAACAAGCAGAGACCUGAAAACCCCAUCCAACCUGAAGCUGAGUGAGUAAUGCUU